rnacentral:rRNA from 1 species
UACGUAGGGUGCAAGCGUUGUCCGGAAUUAUUGGGCGUAAAGAGCUCGUAGGCGGUUUGUCGCGUCGGCUGUGAAAACCUGGGGCUCAACCCCGGGCCUGCAGCCGAUACGGGCAGACUAGAAUUCGGUAGGGGAGUCCGGAAUUCCUGGUGUAGCGGUGAAAUGCGCAGAUAUCAGGAGGAACACCGGUGGCGAAGGCGGGUCUCUGGGCCGAUAUUGACGCUGAGGAGCGAAAGCGUGGGGAGCAAACAGG